GCGCGCGGCGGGUCGGGCUCGGCCAGCUGGGGCGAGCCGGCCUGUUCGCUGGCUCGGGCGCCCGGUUCCGGGCUGGGCAAGGAGCGCUUGGCCAUGAGCCGCGGGACAGCCCAGGCGGGACGGAUGCGCCCUCCAGGGCCCAGGCGAGGCCGCGCGGUGCAGAACCGCCGGGAUUUCUCCAACCCGGUUACUCCCCUGCUGGUGCCUCCCUCCUUGGCGCGCUUCCCACCUGCGAUCGGCGCCCUCUUCGCAGUCACGAACUCGCCAGCAGCUAGCAGCACUGACUAGUAGGAGGGCCCGCCGGAGGAGAGGACAUGCUCUGGAGUCAGAAGACAGCGAAAAGAGAAGCAGAAGCCCCGGUGGCAAGAGUCUGAAGCUGGAAAGGAGGAGAACAUGAAACAUUGCUUGAAGACAAUGGCCGAGACAGCAGGUCCCACCCUGCACAGCCACCAGCAUCUCUCCCCUCAGCCCUGUCUCCUCUUCUGCAGUUGGGAUCUGCACAUUUAAGCCUGAAAUUGUCCUGUGAAGUGAAGUAUGAUCGGACAGCCUCUUUUCAGCUUUUAUGACAAUGGAGACAGAGGAAUUGUGGCUCUUGCCAAGGUCACAGGAUUGGAAUACAGAGCCAAGCCACCCCAGGACAUGCAAGAGCCUCAGAAGGGAAAAAAGCCCAGCAGGAAGGGAGAACAAGUAGCCUCUGUCCUGAAGUUGUAACAGCCAGGGGCCAGGAUGGAGGAGGAGGACCCCAUAAUCUGCCCAUCUGGGACUUGGCAGGGGACCUGGGAAAAUGUACCCCAACCCAUCCCUUAAGGGCCUUUGUCUUUGGCCCAUUGGCCUAGCAUCUACUUCUUCACCGUGUCUGUUCUUGUCACACCUAGUCAGGUCUGUUUGGGUCUGAGGUGCAUGGAACAUUCUGGGUAGGCCUCCAGCAAACGGAAGCUCUUCACCGUGUUUCCAGCCUGGGACCAAGGGCAGCAUACUGGCAAAGUUGCCAAAGCAAGGGACUCCAGCCUCUUAGGAGUUAAUGACUCCCUCUCCCCAGCUGUCCUCCCCUUGGUGCUCCUCUUCCUCCCUCCUCCUGCUCACAGCAGGCAGGGCCUAGACCCGGGAGCCAUGCUGCUGUGCUGUUGCCAGGGGAGCACGGAGGCAGAUCUGAGCUAUGCAGGGAAAAGGCCCAGCCUGUCAAAGUGUCUGAGAUGAACCGCCGCCGUCCCUGUGCAGCUGGGCUCAGACGUGUCUCAGCUCUUGUUCUGUGCCUGAGAAUGGCGAAACCCAGUGAGGUUCAAGGGCAAACUCGCUAUUCAUUAGUCAGGGGUUCUUGACGUCCCGUCUCUCCCAGGGAUGAGUUCCCCCCUCCUCUUUCUCCCCCUCCUAUGACACAUUCCUGGGUGCCUUUGGUGAGGACUGCACACCCUCCUCCUGCCUAGCCCCCUCUCCAAAGGCCCCUGAAUAAACUCCCCCCAAGGAGACCAGGCAGGGCAGAGACAAUGGCUGCAGGAAAUCAUUCAGGCGGGACAUGCUGGCCUGCCCUCCACCCAGUCCCCCUGUGGGCCCCACUCCCUUCUGAUUCAGGGCACCCUUGGGCCCCCAGCCUAUACAGGCCUGGACAGGAAGAAACCACUGGGAACCACCCUAAGGACAACAUGCUAGUCCAGUGCCAUUCUUCGCUGGCUCUGUGGGUGCCUUUGUGGCCUGUACCGACUGGCUGGCUAAUUUUGUGGUUUCUGUACCAUCACAUGCCUAUUUUAAGACACUCUCCAGCACUGUCGGUUAGGGAGUGUAAAUUUUGCAAUAUUUUCUGAAAUGUGGCAAUAUCAAAAUGUAAAAGGCACACAUACUUGGUCACAAACAAAUGGCACUAUUUACUCUGUGGGCAUAUUUGUAAAAGUUGCCAAAGAAUUAUAUACAAGGAUGUUCAUCAGAGCAUUUCUUUUGAAGAGUAAAGAAAUGGACAUGAACCUGUGGUCCGUUCAUACGGUGGAAUACCUAUGCAGCUGUAAAAAUCAGUGUGGUAGAUCUCCGUAUAUGAGUUGAUGUGGAAGGUUGGCCAGUUCACAUGAUAAGGUGAAUAGAAUAAGUUACAGAACAGGCUGUAGAGUAUGAUCUUAUUUGUAGAUGUUUAAAACUGAGUCAUAAGUAUGCUUAUAUACAGAUCGUUUCUGGAAGUAUGUACUGGAAGUCUACCUCUGGGGAGUGGGGAUGGGGGAGUGCACUCUUCUAUACUGUUAUAUUUUCUUUUCAUGCUCCUAAGGUACUUUUAUUGGAAGAUGUAAAGCGGUUCAAUGUAAUAGGCUUAACUUCUGUCAACUAAGUUGGCGUGGGUGCUUUAAGAGGGUGGUAGUGAUGUUGCUGGAGAAAGUAUCCCACAGUCACUGGUGGCUUCAGCCACGGGCCAUUUUGGGGCCUAAUAAUCACAUAUCAUCAUGGUUGCUAGUGUUAAUCGAAAACCUACUAAGUGCCAGGCUUACUGUCUCUGGGUCUUGCUUACGUGGAUGUCAUUUUUCCAGUUGCACCAAAUCGAAAGAGGUUAAUUGGUUUGUUGGAGUUCCUUUGUAGGUGAAGGGCAGAGCCAGGAGCUUGGCUAGGGACAGGGGAGGUGAGUGGGGGAUGGUGGAUAGGUCUUGGCUCCCAGUUUCCUUCUGGGCAGACAUUGCCCCUCUGCCCUGAGGACCUGCUUGUUUGGGGGAAGAGGCCUUUAGAGGCACCAGGGUCAUGCCAGGUGUUGGACAUGGUGAACUGGGAAGUGCUCCCAUCUGGCCACAGCGCAGAAGUAUCACCGUGCUGGGGGAUGGGGAACAGGGCUGUGAAUGGGCCUAUUUGCAUAAGCAGCAUGUGUCUGGAGAGAAAGACAUCACAGAGCAGAAGAGUGCGGGUGCCCAGGAGUGCACUUGCCACCCCUACUUCAUCCCUGAAAGAGUAAAUGGCCUGGAAGGUGUCUCUGAGAGGUAAUGCCGCACACCACCCUCCCUGGGGGCAGGGUCAGGCUACACCUGCCUUAGGUCGGGGGCUGCAGCAGCCUGAGAGCUCUCAGUAGGGCCUCAGUAGCCUGGGAGGGAGCAGGGGCAGGGGGCAGGGAAAGAGGCGUAAUGGGGCUGUCCAGAGGGGCCUGGGAAACCUGGUCCCUGAGGCCUGGGCACAGCUACAAUCACUUCAAAUUGGCUGUGGGGCCAGUGGACUGGGAAGGAAAAAAGCAAUAAGAGUGACCAAGUGCAGAAGGCUGUCAGGUCCCAGGUCACAUGCCUUAGUGCAGUGACUCCUCAUCAUUUUAUGGGGUGUGGGUGUCGUUGGUACACCCAUUUUACAGAUGAGGACACCGAGGCCCAGAAAAGUUAAGUUACAUGUCCUAAGUCACACAGCUUGUAAGUGCCAGAACUGAGAUCAAAACCAAGUCUCUUUGACUUUAAAGUCUGUACUCUGACCCCAAAGAGAUCCUGUUUGGCCACUUAUAGGAGGUCCCUAAAGCUGCAGACUCCCCUUGCCGGCACCCACAUAUAGAGACAUUAACCCUUCCCCUGCAGGGUCACCUCAAAUAGUCUUUUAGCUGGGCUUCUCCUGCAAUUCCACCUAAUGCCAUCCCCUGGGUUUUGCCCAAACCUGAACUGGGCAGUGGGGUGAGAGGAGGGGUUUACAGGGUUACAGAGCCUCAUACAGAUAGGAGCCCAUGGCUGCUGGUCAUCUGCAUUCCUGCAGGAUUGGCUGUUCCUUGGGGUCCUUGGCAGGAAAAUGAGGAUUGCUCCGAGGCCUGCUCCAGUACUUCCCAGAGGCUGGCCUGGUGUGGGGCUCUGGGAAGGCUGAGGCUGGAGAAGCGUAAGUAGGAGGGCAGAGAUGGCACUCAGGUAGCUUGAAUCACCAGGACCCUUCCAAGCCCCACAGGUUCUGAGGGAGUACUAGGGCCAGCUCUGGGAGAGGUCUCUUCCUAUGCUGUGAACCCCCUGCCUUUCUUGCAGCCUACAACGAAUAAAUUUUCUUUGCAA
rnacentral:lncRNA from 1 species